CGCCCCGUCAGCGUGGCCUAACCCGCCCCGUCAGCGUGGCCUAACCCGGGACGUUGCAUUUUUUAUGGGAGUAGAAGUAGGGGGGGUUGAAUACUAGUGUCUUUAGCGGAAGCAAGGGGGUAGAGAUCCAUUAGCCUCUCAUCACCUGCAAAAGGGGCGUGGCUGUGCCAUGCUACUUCCUGGUGUUGGGGCUGUUUGAUUGGCUGCCCAGAUUGGGGUGGGGGGUUGGGGGGGGGGGGGUCCAGGUUAAAGGGUGUGAUCUGUCACCAUGGAAAGAGUGCUGAUUGACAGCUAAGCUGGCACAUUAUUAUGGGAUGCUUUGGGCCCCUUCCGCUGGCAGGCAGGGGCUUUCGCUCAUCCAAUCACUCGUCGGCAAAGUGUGUGUCCUCUGUGUGUGUGUGUGUCACUGUGUGUGUGUGUGUGUUUGUGUGUGUGUGCGCUGUGUCUUGUCCAGACCCCCUGGGUAGUGUGUGUCUAGGAAGACCACCUCGGGCACACACGCGCGCGCCACGUCGACAGUGCCAAGAGUGUGUGUGCCGCCAUGCGUGUGUGUGUCAGAGAGACGCCAGGGGAGGAGGGGGCGGGGGAGGGAGGUUGCCUAGGUUACCCCGUCAGGUGAAUGUUUAAAAAAAAACUUUAAAAAAACUGUGGAUCGAAUUUCUUCUCUGCUACGAUGAGGCAUCUCUAAAGCUCGUCUUCGGACCCUGUCCAGUGUAAUCACUAAGAGUUGUACAGUUAGCGCGUGACGUUUGAUCUACAGCCUGCUUAGACUCCUAAAAACACACAAACACACUCUCUACCAUGUUGCAUGUUCAUCCUCUCAUGUAGUCCGUCCUAUCAUUUCAGCAAGCCGUUUUACCCUCCUUUUAUAAAUAUAUAAAUAAUGUAUAGAUCACUAAAAUUAACUCUGUAAGAUACUGUUUCUGAACAUGUCUAAAUAUAUCCACUAUGAAUACAGACCUGUGUUAUUUACAAAGUGCUGCUUAAAAAGCAUUGAUUGACUGAAUUUUGUAUUUAGUUCACAAAAAAAUAUUGUAGAUUUGUGAUAGUACGUUUUUAAUACGCGUUUCAAUAAAUACACCCACAAAUGUAUUGAAAUUCACUAUUAGUAUUUUUGUAUGUCUCAUUUUUGUACAAAAGAAAUAUUAGCAAUGUUUGUUUUUUUCCUUCUGCUAAAUGUACUUAGCUCUAAUACAUGUGCUUUCAAAUAAAAAGCUCAUGUU